rnacentral:rRNA from 1 species
UGGGUAACCUGCCCCAGACACUGGGAUAACUCCGGGAAACCGGGGCUAAUACCGGAUACUCUCAGCCGGCCGCAUGACCGGCUGAGGAAAGCUCCGGCGGUCUGGGAUGGGCCCGCGGCCUAUCAGCUUGUUGGUGGGGUAACGGCCUACCAAGGCGACGACGGGUAGCUGGU